UCGAAUUCAGGACCUUGCACUUGCCAGGCAGGCGCUUGUGCCACUGAGCUAAACCCCCGGCCCUGGCCAUCAGUUUUGACUGGCAAAGUCUAGGGACGCAGCCUGCGGACAGGAGGUCUCCUGUGGAGGUAGCCCUCGGCCACCAGGGCUGGGAAAGUCUUUUGCAACAGAGCUGACCGUUGGAACCCAGAUGGAACGGAGAACGUGGCUGACCCAGGGCCGCUGGAGAUCAGCGCUGCGCGCAGUCUGGUUUCCAGAUCUGUCUUCGUCCCCAUCUCUUUUCCUAUAAUUAAAUCGACCUGAGAGAUAAGAUUACGGGCACCGUUUCAUAACUUACCACUUACUCCACCGUGUGCUGCCUUCGAGGCUGAAAUCGUUUCUGCGAAGCCUGUUUCCCGGCAGGGCACUGCUCGGCCCUCUCCCGCGCUUGAACGGCCGGCUUGCGCCACCUUCGCUGAGAUCUCACUGGAUUCCUUCCGGCGAAGCUAGACCUUCGCUGUGGCUUCUACUAAGAGCGACUUCCUAGGGGUGAAAUUUAAGUCCCCUGUGAUGCUGGGAAAGCACAGACAUCCAGAGCCAUUCUGUAGCAGCCAGUCCUCACCCUGGGGGGCAUUACCCACCAUGCACUUUGGCCUCCAGCUCUGAGAGAGGAUGACGGAGACCACUAUGGAGCAGCCCCAAGCAGGACUUAAAUUAACCAACUGGCUUUCUGUGUGUACUUGUGAACCUGU